rnacentral:rRNA from 1 species
AGUGAACGCUGGCGGUAGGCCUAACACAUGCAAGUCGAACGGCAGCACAGUAAGAGCUUGCUCUUACGGGUGGCGAGUGGCGGACGGGUGAGGAAUACAUCGGAAUCUACUUUUUCGUGGGGGAUAACGUAGGGAAACUUACGCUAAUACCGCAUACGACCUACGGGUGAAAGCAGGGGAUCUUCGGACCUUGCGCGAUUGAAUGAGCCGAUGUCGGAUUAGCUAGUUGGCGGGGUAAAGGCCCACCAAGGCGACGAUCGGUAGCUGGUCUGAGAGGAUGAUCGGCCACACUGGAACUGAGACACGGUCCAGACGACUACGGGAGGCAGCAGUGGGGAAUAUUGGACAAUGGGCGCAAGCCUGAUCCAGCCAUACCGCGUGGGUGAAGAAGGCCUUCGGGUUGUAAAGCCCUUUUGUUGGGAAAGAAAAGCAGCAGGUUAAUACCACGCUGUUCUGACGGUACCCAAAGAAUAAGCACCGGCUAACUUCGUG